GAGUUUGAUCCUGGCUCAGGACAAACGCUGGCGGCAUGCCUAAGACAUGCAAGUCGAACGAAGCAGCCCAUUGAAGUGGAGUACUUGUACAAAAUGAAUUUGGAUUCCUGCUUAGUGGCGAAUGGCUGAGUAACGCGUGGGUAAUCUACCUUUAAGACUGGGAUAACAGCUGGAAACGGUUGCUAAUACCGGAUAUGAAAUAAGAUGAUACGUUAUCUUAUUUUGAAAGGAGCCUCUAAAGCUCCACUUUUAGAUGAGCCUGCGUUGUAUUAGUUUGUUGGUGGGGUAAUGGCCUACCAAGACGAUGAUGCAUAUCCGACUCGAGAGGGUGAUCGGACAGACUGGGACUGAGACACGGCCCAGACUCCUACGGGAGACAGCAGUUAGGGAUCUUCGUCAAUGAGGGAAACCUUGAACGAGCAAUGCCGCGUGAACGAUGACGGUCAUUAUGAUUGUAAAGUUCUGUUGUUAGGGAUGAAUUGUAUAUAUAGGAAAUGAUAUAUACUUGACAGUACCUUUCCAGAAAGCUCCGGCUAACUACGUGCCAGCAGCCGCGGUAAUACGUAGGGAGCAAGCGUUAUCCGGAUUUAUUGGGUGUAAAGCGUGUGUAGGCUGUUAUGUAAGUCUAGGGUCUAAGCCCGGAGCUCAACUCCGGUUCGCCUUGGAUACUGCAUAACUUGAGUUUGGUAGAGGCAAUCGGAAUUUCUAGUGUAGCGGUGAAAUGCGUAGAUAUUAGAAGGAACACCAAUGGCGAAGGCAGAUUGCUGGGCCAAUACUGACGCUGAGAUACGAAAGCGUGGGGAGCAAAUAGGACUAGAUACCCUAGUAGUCCACGCCGUAAACGAUGGAUACUAAGUGUCGGGUUACCGGUGCUGAAGUUAACACAUUAAGUAUCCCACCUGAGUAGUACGGCCGCAAGGCUGAAACUCAAAGGAAUUGACGGGCACCCGCACAAGCGGUGGAGCAUGUUGUUUAAUUCGAAGAUACACGAAGAACCUUACCUAGACUUGACAUCCCACUGCCCUUCCUAGAAAUAGGAACUUCUCCUUCGGGAGACAGUGGUGACAGAUGGUGCAUGGUUGUCGUCAGCUCGUGUCGUGAGAUGUUCGGUUAAGUCCGAUAACGAGCGCAACCCUCGUCCUUAAUUGCUAACAUUAAGUUGAGAACCUUAAGGAUACUACCGGCGCAAGCCGGGGGAAGAUGGGGAUGACGUCAAAUCAUCAUGCCUCUUACGUCUAGGGCUACAGACGUGCUACAAUGGCCAGUACAGUGAGACGCAAUACCGCGAGGUGGAGCAAAUCUAUAAAGCUGGCCCCAAUUCGGAUUGAAGUCUGCAACUCGACUUCAUGAAGUUGGAAUCGCUAGUAAUCGCAAAUCAGAAUGUUGCGGUGAAUACGUUCCCGGGUGUUGUACACACCGCUCGUCAAGCCGUGGGAGUUAGUAAUACCCGAAGCUUCUAGCCUAACCAGCUUGCUGGAGGGAGGAAUCGAAGGUAGGAUUAGCGACUGGGGCUAAGUCGUAACAAGGUCC
rnacentral:rRNA from 1 species